rnacentral:rRNA from 1 species
GGUUAAGCGACUAAGCGUACACGGUGGAUGCCCUGGCAGUCAGAGGCGAUGAAGGACGUGCUAAUCUGCGAUAAGCGUCGGUAAGGUGAUAUGAACCGUUAUAACCGGCGAUUUCCGAAUGGGGAAACCCAGUGUGAUUCGUCACACUAUCAUUAACUGAAUCCAUAGGUUAAUGAGGCGAACCGGGGGAACUGAAACAUCUAAGUACCCCGAGGAAAAGAAAUCAACCGAGAUUCCCCCAGUAGCGGCGAGCGAACGGGGAGGAGCCCAGAGCCUGAAUCAGUGUGUGUGUUAGUGGAAGCGUCUGGAAAGGCGCGCGAUACAGGGUGACAGCCCCGUACACAAAAAUGCACAUGCUGUGAGCUCGAUGAGUAGGGCGGGACACGUGGUAUCCUGUCUGAAUAUGGGGGGACCAUCCUCCAAGGCUAAAUACUCCUGACUGACCGAUAGUGAACCAGUACCGUGAGGGAAAGGCGAAAAGAACCCCGGCGAGGGGAGUGAAAAAGAACCUGAAACCGUGUACGUACAAGCAGUGGGAGCACGCUUCGGCGUGUGACUGCGUACCUUUUGUAUAAUGGGUCAGCGACUUAUAUUCUGUAGCAAGGUUAACCGAAUAGGGGAGCCGAAGGGAAACCGAGUCUUAACUGGGCGUUAAGUUGCAGGGUAUAGACCCGAAACCCGGUGAUCUAGCCAUGGGCAGGUUGAAGGUUGGGUAACACUAACUGGAGGACCGAACCGACUAAUGUUGAAAAAUUAGCGGAUGACUUGUGGCUGGGGGUGAAAGGCCAAUCAAACCGGGAGAUAGCUGGUUCUCCCCGAAAGCUAUUUAGGUAGCGCCUCGUGAAUUCAUCUCCGGGGGUAGAGCACUGUUUCGGCAAGGGGGUCAUCCCGACUUACCAACCCGAUGCAAACUGCGAAUACCGGAGAAUGUUAUCACGGGAGACACACGGCGGGUGCUAACGUCCGUCGUGAAGAGGGAAACAACCCAGACCGCCAGCUAAGGUCCCAAAGUCAUGGUUAAGUGGGAAACGAUGUGGGAAGGCCCAGACAGCCAGGAUGUUGGCUUAGAAGCAGCCAUCAUUUAAAGAAAGCGUAAUAGCUCACUGGUCGAGUCGGCCUGCGCGGAAGAUGUAACGGGGCUAAACCAUGCACCGAAGCUGCGGCAGCGACACUAUGUGUUGUUGGGUAGGGGAGCGUUCUGUAAGCCUGUGAAGGUGUACUGUGAGGUAUGCUGGAGGUAUCAGAAGUGCGAAUGCUGACAUAAGUAACGAUAAAGCGGGUGAAAAGCCCGCUCGCCGGAAGACCAAGGGUUCCUGUCCAACGUUAAUCGGGGCAGGGUGAGUCGACCCCUAAGGCGAGGCCGAAAGGCGUAGUCGAUGGGAAACAGGUUAAUAUUCCUGUACUUGGUGUUACUGCGAAGGGGGGACGGAGAAGGCUAUGUUGGCCGGGCGACGGUUGUCCCGGUUUAAGCGUGUAGGCUGGUUUUCCAGGCAAAUCCGGAAAAUCAAGGCUGAGGCGUGAUGACGAGGCACUACGGUGCUGAAGCAACAAAUGCCCUGCUUCCAGGAAAAGNNNNNNNNNNNNNNNNNNNNNNNNNNNNNNNNNNNNNNNNNNNNNNNNNNNNNNNNNNNNNNNNNNNNNNNNNNNNNNNNNNNNNNNNNNNNNNNNNNNNNNNNGUUAAUUGAUGGGGUUAGCGCAAGCGAAGCUCUUGAUCGAAGCCCCGGUAAACGGCGGCCGUAACUAUAACGGUCCUAAGGUAGCGAAAUUCCUUGUCGGGUAAGUUCCGACCUGCACGAAUGGCGUAAUGAUGGCCAGGCUGUCUCCACCCGAGACUCAGUGAAAUUGAACUCGCUGUGAAGAUGCAGUGUACCCGCGGCAAGACGGAAAGACCCCGUGAACCUUUACUAUAGCUUGACACUGAACAUUGAGCCUUGAUGUGUAGGAUAGGUGGGAGGCUUUGAAGUGUGGACGCCAGUCUGCAUGGAGCCGACCUUGAAAUACCACCCUUUAAUGUUUGAUGUUCUAACGUUGGCCCGUUAUCCGGGUUGCGGACAGUGUCUGGUGGGUAGUUUGACUGGGGCGGUCUCCUCCUAAAGAGUAACGGAGGAGCACGAAGGUUGGCUAAUCCUGGUCGGACAUCAGGAGGUUAGUGCAAUGGCAUAAGCCAGCUUGACUGCGAGCGUGACGGCGCGAGCAGGUGCGAAAGCAGGUCAUAGUGAUCCGGUGGUUCUGAAUGGAAGGGCCAUCGCUCAACGGAUAAAAGGUACUCCGGGGAUAACAGGCUGAUACCGCCCAAGAGUUCAUAUCGACGGCGGUGUUUGGCACCUCGAUGUCGGCUCAUCACAUCCUGGGGCUGAAGUAGGUCCCAAGGGUAUGGCUGUUCGCCAUUUAAAGUGGUACGCGAGCUGGGUUUAGAACGUCGUGAGACAGUUCGGUCCCUAUCUGCCGUGGGCGCUGGAGAACUGAGGGGGGCUGCUCCUAGUACGAGAGGACCGGAGUGGACGCAUCACUGGUGUUCGGGUUGUCAUGCCAAUGGCACUGCCCGGUAGCUAAAUGCGGAAGAGAUAAGUGCUGAAAGCAUCUAAGCACGAAACUUGCCCCGAGAUGAGUUCUCCCUGACUCCCUGAGAGUCCUGAAGGAACGUUGAAGACGACGACGUUGAUAGGCCGGGUGUGUAAGCGCAGCGAUGCGUUGAGCUAACCGGUACUAAUGAACCGUGAGGCUUAACCUU